AAGAAGAAAAGUGGGUAGAUGUUUCGAAUAAGGACUGGCAGAAGGGAAACAGCCCAGAUCUACAGCUAAGGUCCCAAAUUGUAUCUAAGUGGAAAACGAUGUGGAAAUACGCAGACAACCAGGAUGUUGGCUCAGAAGCAGCCACUCAUUUAAAGAGUGCGUAAUAGCUCACUGGUCGAGCGUCUCUGCGCGGAAAAUUUAACGGGGCUAAGAUACAAACCGAAGCUUAGGCUGCAUCGUAAGAUGCGGGGUAGGGGAGCGUUGUGUAAGCGGAGAAACAGUAGCGUAAGCGGCUGUGGAGUUUACAGAAGUGAGAAUGCCGGAAUGAGUAGCGCGAAUGUGGUGAGAAUCCACAUGGCCGGAAACCUCAGGUUUUUGGAGGAAGGUUCGUCCGCUCCAAGUUAGGCGGGAGCUAAGGUCAGGCCGAAAGGCGUAGCCGAUGCACAGACGGUAGAGAUUCCGUCCCCACCGAAAGAUUUAAGCACAGGGACACUUUUUGAAGGUCGGAGCCAGGUGUUGGUUCUGGUAGAGAUCGAGGGAAAUAUAGUACCGAAGUCCGGCUGGAUGAGAGGCGAGAAAAGCUGUGUGUAUAUCUAAGGUGCCCGUACCGCAAACCGACACAGGUAGGUAGGAAGAAGAUUCUAAGGCCAACGGGAGAAGGGUUGUUAAGGAACUCGGCAAGUUGACCCCGUAACUUCGGAAUAAGGGGUGCUCACGAGAGUGAGCCGCAGAGAAUAGGCCCAGGCAACUGUUUACCAAAAACACAGGUUUGUGCUAAAUCGAAAGAUGACGUAUACGAGCUGACGCCUGCCCGGUGCUGGAAGGUUAAGAGGAGAUGUGCAAGCAUUGAAUCGAAGCCCCAGUGAACGGCGGCCGUAACUAUAACGGUCCUAAGGUAGCGAAAUUCCUUGUCAGGUAAGUUCUGACCCGCAUGAAAGGCGUAAUGAUUUGGGCACUGUCUCAACAGCCCGCCCGGCGAAAUUGUAGUACCGGUGAAGAUGCCGGUUACCCGCGACAAGACGGAAAGACCCCAUGGAGCUUUACUGUAGCCUGAUAUUGGGUUUCGGUGUUGCAUGCACAGGAUAGAUGGGACGCUGGGAAAGAAGCGCUUUGGCGUUUCUGGAGCGGACGUUGGGAUACCAUCCUUGCGACAUUGGAAUUCUAACCUGCGCCUCUGAAUCGAGGCGGGGGACAUUGUCAGGUGGGCAGUUUGACUGGGGCGGUCGCCUCCUAAAAAGUAGCGGAGGCGUUCAAAGGUUCGUUCGAUCUGGACGGAAACCAGAUGAAUGAGUGCAAACGCAUAAACGAGCCUGACUGCGAGACUGACGGGUCGAGCAGAGACGAAAGUCGGAGUUAGUGAUCCGGUGGUAUGUGAGUGGAAAUGCCAUCGCUCAACGGAUAAAAGUUACCCUGGGGAUAACAGGCUGAUCUCCCCCAAGAGUCCACAUCGACGGGGAGGUUUGGCACCUCGAUGUCGGCUCAUCGCAUCCUGGGGCUGAAUUCGGUCCCAAGGGUUUGGCUGUUCGCCAAUUAAAGCGGUACGCGAGCUGGGUUCAGAACGUCGUGAGACAGUUCGGUCCCUAUCUGUCGUGGGCGCAGGAUAUUUGAAAGGCGCUGUCCCUAGUACGAGAGGACCGGGAUGGACGAACCUCUGGUGCACCAGUUGUCACGCCAGUGGCACAGCUGGGCAGCUAUGUUCGGAUCGGAUAAACGCUGAAAGCAUCUAAGCGUGAAGCCGGCCUUAAGAUAAGAUAUCCCACUGAGUCAAUCAGGUAAGACCCCUUGAAGACUACAAGGUUGAUAGGCACACAGUGUAAGCGGAGUGAUCCGUUCAGCUAGCGUGUACUAAUAGGUCGAGGGCUUGACCC
rnacentral:rRNA from 1 species